CUGGAAGUUCCGGCGAGUGUUUGUGUGUGUGUGUGUUGGUGCUCUUGGACAGAUGACUGGAUAUACAUGGAGGUAGAGCUGGACUCCAGGAUGCAGUGCAUCUAGAUCCUAUCCAGUUAUGCAGUUGACCGGAAGUUCCAGCGAAUGAUUGUGUGUGUGUUGUUGCUUUUCGACAGAUCACUGGAUAUGUAUGGAUAGACAUGGAGGUGUUGCUAUGAUUACGGGAUAUAUACAUGGAGAUGUCAUCAUUUAAGACACCAGAGGAUCGAAAACUUUUUCAGCAUGAAUGGUACGCUCGUUUUUAAUACUAAGCUCAACUUCAUCUCACUUGAUUGCAUGCCAACGAAGACAAAGGAUAUCAAAUCGAACUGGAUCCAGACCGCCUGUCACGGCUCAUUAAGCUCUUAAGGGCUCCUCUUCGCCCUGAAAAGGACGAAAUGCCGAAUAGGUUCCACCCUAAUGGCCGCCCAAGUGGCAAUGUGAGUGCGAGUAUCUUGCGGAUGUGGCGAAAGUAAUGCAAGGAUCCCGAAAAGGAUGCCGGCUCCGGCGCGGAGACAAAGUCCCGGGCAGUAG